GGGGGGGUACUUUUAAGCAGGGGUAACAGCCCAUCUCUGACCGGGUGGGGGGAGAGAGAAAGCAGAUAUAAGGCAGGCAGGCAGAGGCUGUCCAACGUCCCGGCGGCUCCCGCUGCCUCCGUAGCCGCAGCCGGGACGCAGCUGGCAACAGCUGGCUCGCAACUUUCCGGACCCCUCGCAAGAAAGCUUAGAUCCGAAUCCAAUGGGCGCUGCAAGACCCUUGGCUUCUGACCAACUAUGAGCCGGCAGCGGCCCUUCUGGCUGCCUCCGCCUCUCUUCCUCUCAAAUCCCUUUUUCCGCAGCCAAGAUGCCGAGAGCGAAAACAGCAGCGAAGACUUGUUUUCAGACUUCGAGGGCUUCGACAACGAGAGCUCCUUCUCCCUAGACGACUGGGACGUGGACGACCUAGACGGUUUCGACAGCGGUGCGCGCUACGAAGGGGCGUCCCAGAGCAGCAGGGUGAGAGCGCUGCUCAUCAUGGCCUACUCGGUCAUCAUCUGCAUCUCGCUCUUCGGGAAUCUGCUGGUCUGCCACGUGGUGGUGAAGAACAAGAAGAUGCACACGGCCACCAGCCUCUUCAUCGCCAACCUGGCCGUGGCGGACAUCAUGAUCACCACCCUGAACACGCCCUUCACUUUGGUCCGAUUUGUUAGCAGAACCUGGGUUUUUGGAAAGCAGAUGUGCCACGUGAGCCGGUUCGUUCAAUAUUGCUCUGUCCAUGUGUCUGUGCUGACUCUGACAGCUAUUGCUCUGGACCGCCAUCAGGUCAUCGUGCAUCCACUGAGGCCUCGAAUGUCCAUCAUUAAAGGAAGGAUCUGCAUUGCUGUCAUCUGGUUAAUGGCAAGCUGUUUCUCCCUGCCCCAUGCCAUCUACCAGAAGCUGAUGUGGCUUUCUAUGGGAAACAGAACGAUUCGUGUGGUCUGCCUCCCAAGCUUCCCCCCUCCAAAAGAUCUUUAUUGGAAGUACCUGGAUUUGACCACCUUCUUUCUCCUGUAUCUCCUGCCCCUGUCGGUAAUCUCCAUCGCUUACACAGUGGUUGCCAAGAAAAUCUGGAUGCGGAACGCCAUUGGUGAUGUGACCAUGGAGCAGUACUAUGCCCACCAGAGGAAGAAGAAGAUGACUCUGAAGAUGCUGAUGGUGGUUGUGCUGGUCUUCGCUGUCUGCUGGUUCCCGUUAAAUUGCUACUUAGUCCUCAUGUCUAGCAAGGCCAUCCAGAGCAACAACAUCCUUUACUUCGCUUUCCAUUGGUUCGCCAUGAGCAGCACCUGCUACAACCCUUUCAUCUACUGCUGGCUGAAUGAGAACUUCCGCUCGGAGUUCAAGUCCCUGCUGCGUAUGUGCUGGAGGAAGAGGGCCACUGGAAAUCACACCCUGCAGUUAAUAAUGGCCCCUUUCAGGCACACCUGCAGUGAGAAUUGCCCCUGCAAGCAAGUAGGAACCAAGAGGGUGAAUUUGACUGAUGGUCGACGUUAUGAUGGAAUGCCCAUAAUUCAGGAUAAACCUGGUCUUCGAACCAACAAGGAAAAAGAAGACCCCUCAGGAUAGUUUGCAAAGAUCAGUAAUAAGACAACUCCUGCCCUCAGGCUUGCAGCCUAAAAGGUGCUGGAAUGGAAACCACAGAUAUGUCGAUUGAUCUCACCACCACUUCUGUAGUGCUGCAACACUGGCCACCACACUCCAAAAAAUUAAGAACCCAAUCUUCUUUUUUCAAAACACAGCUGUCUCCUACCAUCAGGUGUCUUUUACCAGCAUUGAAACACACAAGUGCUCAUUAGAUGAGCAGAGGGCUGAUGCCACAGACCUAGCGGAGGAUCUACACUUGUCGUUUACAACUUUAAAAAGUAUUAUUGAAAUGUAAUUCCACCAGAGGGUGCUGCAUAGCAGCAAGCCACCAGCAAAGAAAAACUGCCAUUAAAUGUUAUAUUUUUAAUAACGUUUAAAUGAUCAAUGUAGAUCCAGCACUAGAACCCCACCCCAGCUGAUGCUCUUGUCUAAAAGAUCUUAGACCAGUGGUUCCCUGAGGGUGGUAGGAUUACCUAGGGGGUGCCAAGAGGCAAGGGAACAGCACACAGUCAGUGUAGGUGGGUCACUCUGAGCGCAUUGAUUGCUUCUUUACGAUUGACCAGGCUGGAGUCUAGAGUGAAACACCACCCUUGCUUUUAACUUAAAGCUCUACUGCUCUUGUCGCUUUCAAAGCUAUUUUGUUUGGUCACUUUUGUAUGUACGAUUUUUAGCUGCUACAAGAUAGCCAAUUAUUGGUAAUAGUUAUUUAUUUUCUUAUAAAUUAGUUACCGUGCAUGUGUGCAAGGUGAAGGUUUGUGUGUGUUUGGUAAAGAGUUAUAUAUAAACAUUUUAUGCUAUAGGUUUACUUCGUCAUGCUUUUGUUGGUAAUAAUGCAUAGAAAUAUUUCUCAUGAAAUAUUCACUGCUGCAUAUUCUUGUUUUAGCCUCAAGAAUAGAUCAGAGCAUAUAUUUGUGUUGUGUCACAAACUCAUGAUUGUAAGCCCAUCCAUCAUAUUAAGAAUUUACUGAAGUUGUGAAGUAAUUAUUAAAUGUUGUAUCUAAGACUCUUGCUAAAUGACAAUCAUGGCCCUGAAAAGCUGUUAUCACUGGAUCAAGUUAAUCGAUAUUGUGAAAUUGUUUUUAAUUGGAUCGUGAAUAAAUGUGCAAUUGAA